GACGAACGCUGGCGGCGUGCUUAACACAUGCCAGUCGAACGGAAAGGCCCUGCUUGCAGGGUACUCGAGUGGCGAACGGGUGAGUAACACGUGGGUGAUCUGCCCUGCACUUCGGGAUAAGCCUGGGAAACUGGGUCUAAUACCGGAUAGGAGCCAUUUUUAGUGUGAUGGUUGGAAAGUUUUUUCGGUGUAGGAUGAGCUCGCGGCCUAUCAGCUUGUUGGUGGGGUAAUGGCCUACCAAGGCGGCGACGGGUAGCCGGCCUGAGAGGGUGGACGGCCACAUUGGGACUGAGAUACGGCCCAGACUCCUACGGGAGGCAGCAGUGGGGAAUAUUGCACAAUGGGCGCAAGCCUGAUGCAGCGACGCCGCGUGGGGGAUGACGGCCUUCGGGUUGUAAACUCCCUUCGCUAGGGACGAAGCUUUUUGUGACGGUACCUAGAGAAGAAGCACCGGCUAACUACGUG
rnacentral:rRNA from 1 species